GCAGACUAAGCUGUUUAGUAUCUGCAUGUAUUAACCUGUCACCUACAUUACGUGGCCUUCUGUAUGACAUAAGGGGAGUGGCAUGGAAUGCUUCAAUGUCAGGAAAUGACUCUGUCUAUAUACGUGUUCACCGCAUCCUUAAUAACAGGAGGUUGGAAGUCACUACGUUGAAUACUAUCGUCCACAGAGGGCAUGAUCCGGCCAGUUUGUUGUUUACGGUCCGAGCGAUUCAUUGGUUUCUUCAUCUCCAUUGAAGUUCUACCAGUUUUCGUGAUCCAGCGCUGUUCGUUCCGUUGUGCGUUGGAGGAGGUUCCGGUUCUGUUUUUUGUCUAGUUGGUGUCAGGACGUCAAAGAAAGAGGAAGAUCCUAUCUGGAGGGGUCCCGUUAUACUUGGGCUACGGGUGG